AGUGAACGCUGGCGGUAGGCCUAACACAUGCAAGUCGAACGGCAGCACAGUAAGAGCUUGCUCUUACGGGUGGCGAGUGGCGGACGGGUGAGGAAUACAUCGGAAUCUACUUUUUCGUGGGGGAUAGCGUAGGGAAACUUACGCUAAUACCGCAUACGACCUACGGGUGAAAGCAGGGGAUCUUCGGACCUUGCGCGAUUGAAUGAGCCGAUGUCGGAUUAGCUAGUUGGCGGGGUAAAGGCCCACCAAGGCGACGAUCCGUAGCUGGUCUGAGAGGAUGGUCAGCCACACUGGAACUGAGACACGGUCCAGACUCCUCCGGGAGGCAGAGGUGGGGAAUAUUGGACAAUGGGCGCAAUCCUGAUCCAGCCAUACCGCGUGGGUGAAGAAGGCCUUCGGGUUGUAAAGCCCUUUUGUUGGGAAAGAAAAGCAGCAGGUUAAUACCCCGCUGUUCUGACGGUACCCAAAGAAUAAGCACCGGCUACCUUCGU
rnacentral:rRNA from 1 species